UCAGGCCUAACACAUGCAAGUCGAACGGCAGCACGGGAGCAAUCCUGGUGGCGAGUGGCGAACGGGUGAGUAAUACAUCGGAACGUGCCCAGUCGUGGGGGAUAACUACUCGAAAGAGUGGCUAAUACCGCAUACGACCUGAGGGUGAAAGCGGGGGACCGCAAGGCCUCGCGCGAUUGGAGCGGCCGAUGUCAGAUUAGCUAGUUGGUGGGGUAAAGGCCUACCAAGGCGACGAUCUGUAGCUGGUCUGAGAGGACGACCAGCCACACUGGGACUGAGACACGGCCCAGACUCCUACGGGAGGCAGCAGUGGGGAAUUUUGGACAAUGGGGGCAACCCUGAUCCAGCCAAGGCGCGUGCGGGAAGAAGGCCUUCGGGUUUAAACUGCAUGGUACGGAACGAAAAGGUCCCGGCUAUACCCGGGCUC
rnacentral:rRNA from 1 species